UAAUAACCACCACCACGGGAUGCUGUGCUGGGGUUGAAUAGGGCCAGUUACAACAUGUUGUGUUUGGGAUCUGGUUCAGGUUCAAAGCAAUCAAGGAAUUUUAGGUUUGUAUUCUGUUCUCAUUCACAAAAUAAACCUUUCAACUGGUUUUUGGGUUCAAAUUUAGGUUCAGCUCAGCUCCCUUACUGACACAGACAUUCAGGAGAAUCAUUGGGUACAGUCUUCUUAAGAACUGACCACUUUAGAAUGCAAGUGAGAGAAUUGCAUGUUUGAAUGCUCCCCCGUGUUUAAAAAUCCCUACUUGUGGAGACUUGUGGCAUGAGAAGAGUUCUAGUCCAGUUCUUUGUGGUGUCCUUCCACCCUCUGCCUGUUCAAAAGGCUGAGGGCAUGGACAUUGGAGCAACAGGAAGUAAUAAAACACACUUCCUGUUGCUCUAACUUUCCUACUGUCAGGGCACAGCAAAGAGGCGGAAAGGGCAAGGGCAGCAGGCAGUAAGUACAGGUCAGGUGGGGCCACAGGCAGUGGUGAGACUGUGUGGGGAGCCAAUCCGCCACCUAUAUGUGGCUGCUGCCCUAUGCUCAGAAGUUAUCAGUUCUGAGUGAGAAGCAAUAUGGCUCCAGGACAGGAUUGGAAAAGUAAUGGGGAUUGGAGGGCCCAAGAUGGUUGCACUCAAGUAGAGUGAAGUAACUUACAAUAUUACUUGCAUACAAGAGUGAGAUUUAUUAGAAUAAUUAAUACCUGGAAAUAUAUCUGUUCAAACUAUAUAUAGUAUAGGUUUUCCUCAGGGCAAUGCUAAAGAAGACAAUAUCAUUAACUCAUAACACAUAAUACAGUACAACAUUAAAUCUGAAUCUGGAACCCUAAGUUGCCCACUGAGAUGCUUUUAAUGAGUGGUUUGUGUAUUAUAACCCACUAGCUGACCGGGCGCAUAGUGUCUGUGCCCCUAGUUUGACUCUUCCCCUUCACUUCUCCCUGUCUUCUGGCAGUGUCUCUGAUGCCCACCCGGUCUGCUUCUCUCCACCCCCCACCCCCUGCUCACGGUUUCUCCUGCCUCUUGCCGCCACCUCCUCUUGCUGGCGGCCCGGCCACCUCCUGUCCCUGGUGGGCACGCAGGCCACCACUGCCUCCUCACCGCGGCUGGAGCCGCCACAGCCGUCGCCAUUUCCCCCGGCAGCAGCUCAAUGGCCUUCCGCCGCCCAUGAGCUCCCGCCACCUCAGCCUAUCAGGCGCCUCUGCUGCCCAGCCAAUCAGCUAGGCGCCGGGACGCACAUUCUAAAGGCACACCCAGGAGGAUUAAAUAUAUAGAUAUCUGGGCCUGCCUGGACACUCUGUUUACUGCAGAAGCUAUUAUGGAGGUGUCCAGCAACUCAUUUUAUGUGAUUAGAUUGGAUCUGUUUCAGUUUGUGACUCCUGAGAAUGUGGAUGACCUGCUUCAGACAGUAUGCCCUAUCAGCUGCUGUCUUGACCCUUGCCCAAUUUGGUUGAUUUUAUCUGAUUGUGGGAUUAUUGGAGGGGGUCUGGUAAAUAUCAUAAAUGCUUCUUUGAGGGAGGACAGGAUGCCUCCUUGUCUUAAGGAGACUAUCAUUAGACCAUACAUGAAGAAACCUGCACUGGACCCCUUGGACAUAGGCGAUUACAGACCUGUCUCCAAACUCCCAUGGCUGGGCAAAGUGACUGAGAGGGUGAUCGCCUCUCAAAUCUAGGCGGAAGAGACAGAUUAUCUACAUAUACCCAUUCCAAACUGGCUGCGGGGUUGAGACUUUCUUGGAAAUGAUAUAACUUUCCUGAGUGCCUGCCUGGAAGUGGUAAUGGGCUGGAUGAGGGAUAACUAAAGCUGAAUCCAGCCACAGUCCUGAUCUGGAUCAACCCUCCGCCAUUGUGGCUGCUGCUUUCCCUGGGGAAGCUACUGUCAGCACAAACAGGAAAUUCCCUCCUGAGGUAAAUUGCAGCUGUGGAGGAACCCAAACAGAAGAGAGACGGCAGUGGGGCAAAAGAUUACUGUAAAUCUUCUCUUCCCCACGGCACUCCUGGAUCCUGAGCCUCUUAUAAUGGCUGCCAUUUAUAAAACAUGGUAAGGACAAUUAAUGCAGAAAGUGGCUUUCCCUCACUACUGAAGGUCAAACUACAUGUUAUGGAGUUUAUGUAACAUGACUACAUAACAUGUUACAUGCCCUCAACUCCUGCCUGUAGGCUUCCAGCGGCAUCUGGUGGGCCACUGUGUGAAAGAGGAUGCUGGACUAGAUGGGCCUGGGGCCUGAUCCAGCAGGGCUGUUCUUAUUUAUGUUCUUAUUACAUGUUAUGUGACAGGUUGGAUGCACUCAAAAAUCUGAGAUUUCUGAAGUGGGGCCAAGUGAUGACUGAGGGGAGAUAUCACUUGGGGCUGUCACUUAGAGGAAGGAACGGACUUGCUCUCUGUAGCUCCUGAGAUCAGGGCUAGAUCCAAUAGGUUGAAAUUGGAAGGAAGCAGGUUUAGGUUAGAUAUUAGGAGGGAUUUUCUAACUAUAAAGAGCUGUUUAGCUUUGGAAAAAUCCGCCUUAUGCAAUGGUGGGCGCUCUGUCACUAGAGGUUUUCGGGCAGAGGCUGUCUGGCCAUCUGUCAGGGAUUAUGUACUUUCCUGCACUGCGUAGGAUGUUGGACUAGAGUCUGAGACCUCCAAGGUCCUGUGAUUCUAUGAUGUGAUAAUACUGCCAACCCUGGAUAAAAAGGUGGGGAAUAUCUGGUACUGGGGUACAGUCCAUCUGCAAAAAGGUAGAGUUUAGAGCCAAAGGGGUGAAGCCUAGCAGCAGCCCCAACAUAACCAAGGACUAACUUUUGCUGCUCUUCUGUCUAGGGACAAACAAACAAACAAGGCUAGAGAACCAGGGUAUUUUUGGCAAACUGGCAAUUGUAAUUAUCAUACGUAGAAUGGUUCCGCAGCCCUUGGAGAUCUUGGUUCAAAUGAAAGCCUGAAUGACUGGAUGAAGGAUGAAGGAACAUGUCCUUGGAUGGAGCAGCUGCAAUGGGAAUGGGGAACUCACAGUUGGAUGGCAGCUUGUAGUUGCAGCCGUUCUGGGCUGUCGCUCUGUGUCAUGCGAAACACCGUGUUGUCAGUGGUGGUGAAUGUCUCCAGUGAGGAAGGGGAUGCUGAAGCGGCGGCAAUGAAAAACCAUCUGCCAAGAUACUGCAAAGGGAACUAGGUGAGAGUCAAGGCAAUAUUCAGACCAAACUGCACAUUUAUGUACAAAAAACAUAUAUUUAAAACCUCAUGGCUUUUCCCCUAGCAGCUUAAGGAAAAGAGGGUUUUCAGCAGGGAAGCUAUGUGUGCGGUACUUAAACCCUUCCCCUGUUUUUCUGCUGUCAUAUCUGAAACCCUAUAAGGGAGAAGCACUGAAGGGUAAGCAAGGUAGAAUUGUAGUAGCUACCAUGUGGAUUUUGGGUUGCAGGCAUCAAACUAUAUUGGGCAGGCCUUGCUGCGAUUAAAUUGUCUGGCCUUGCCUUGUGUACCCCAAGAAGAAAAAACAACAACACUUUCCAACCAGAUAUACAUGGAAAAUAACCCUUGUGAUAGUACACAUAAAUAUACUAGAUUCCAAGGAGUCCCCCCAGCCACCAUAUUAAGAUCUGGCUAAUGUGCUUCUUAGUUAGCAGACAGCCAUGUAAGUGUUACUUUGAAAUAUCUCAAAACAUCUUUAACAAAGCAUGUUACUAGCCUUAAUGGAAGUGGAAUUUGGUUUGAUAAUUGCUAUGCUAUAACUCCCACCCCAUGUU